CCUACGGGAGGCAGCAGUGAGGAAUAUUGGUCAAUGGACGAGAGUCUGAACCAGCCAAGUAGCGUGAAGGAUGACUGCCCUAUGGGUUGUAAACUUCUUUUAUAUGGGAAUAAAACGUUCCACGUGUGGGAUUUUGUAUGUACCAUAUGAAUAAGGAUCGGCUAACUCCGUGCCAGCAGCCGCGGUAAUACGGAGGAUCCGAGCGUUAUCCGGAUUUAUUGGGUUUAAAGGGAGCGUAGGUGGAUUGUUAAGUCAGUUGUGAAAGUUUGCGGCUCAACCGUAAGAUUGCAGUUGAAACUGGCAGUCUUGAGUACAGUAGAGGUGAGCGGAAUUCGUGGUGUAGCGGUGAAAUGCUUAGAUAUCACGAAGAACUCCGAUUGCGAAGGCAGUUCACUGGACUGCAACUGACACUGAGGCUCGAAAGUGUGGGUAUCAAACAGGAUUAGAUACCCUUGUAGUC
rnacentral:rRNA from 1 species